GUGGGGAAUAUUGGACAAUGGGCGCAAGCCUGAUCCAGCCAUGCCGCGUGAGUGAUGAAGGCCUUAGGGUUGUAAAGCUCUUUCACCGAUGAAGAUAAUGACGGUAGUCGGAGAAGAAGCCCCGGCUAACUUCGUGCCAGCAGCCGCGGUAAUACGAAGGGGGCUAGCGUUGUUCGGAAUUACUGGGCGUAAAGCGCACGUAGGCGGAUAUUUAAGUCAGGGGUGAAAUCCCGCAGCUCAACUGCGGAACUGCCUUUGAUACUGGGUAUCUUGAGUAUGGAAGAGGUAAGUGGAAUUCCGAGUGUAGAGGUGAAAUUCGUAGAUAUUCGGAGGAACACCAGUGGCGAAGGCGGCUUACUGGUCCAUUACUGACGCUGAGGUGCGAAAGCGUGGGGAGCAAACAGGAUUAGAAACCCCGGUAGUCC
rnacentral:rRNA from 1 species